UACGUAGGUGGCGAGCGUUGUCCGGAUUUAUUGGGCGUAAAGCGCCCGCAGGCGGCCUGAUAAGUUUCAGGUGAAAUCUCCCGGCUCAACUGGGAGGGGUCCUGGAAAACUGUCAGGCUUGAGGCAGGGAGAGGGAUGUGGAAUUCCCGGUGUAGUGGUGAAAUGCGUAGAUAUCGGGAGGAACACCAGUGGCGAAGGCGGCAUCCUGGCCCUGUCCUGACGCUCAGGGGCGAAAGCGUGGGGAGCAAACCGG
rnacentral:rRNA from 1 species